rnacentral:tmRNA from 1 species
GGGGAUGCACCGGGUUCGAUUGCGGUUUCUGGUCGGGAUGUCUUGCAUGCAGUGGACGGUAGCACUUAAAAAGCCGUGCUUUUAAUAAUUGCAAACGAUAAUUUUGCAUUAGCUGCCUAAUCGCGGCUACGGUACCGGAAGAGUUUAGUCUUGUACUCGGAAGGAUUACCGUCAGACAAACAAGAAUCGCUUUACGAUAGCUUCGGUCGUAAGGUUAAAUUUAGAAGCUGCUAAUCGAAAUUGGUUUUGUUUUUGUACCUGUUUUGAUUCUAAGAUUAAACAAAGACUAAGCAUGUAGAGAGCUCCAGGCGGGCUUGUAAGACAGGGGUUCAACUCCCCUCAUCUCCAAAA